rnacentral:misc_RNA from 1 species
GUAUUUUGAAUUGUUUAUUCACAAUAUUUUUCAGACAAAGAGUUAAAAGAUAAAGGUUGAUGUUUGGUCGAUCUCCAAGAAGAAGAUCGACUGACAUUGCACACAAGGUGGAUAUGGAUUUAAAAAGUGCCAUAAAACACUUAUUAUGAAUGAUCCUUCCGCAGGUUCACCUACGGAAA